CGCCUCUUGCAAAAAGAACAAAUAAGAGGUCCCGCCUGCCCAGUGACUAUAUGUUCAACGGCCGCGGUAUUCUGACCGUGCGAAGGUAGCGCAAUCACUUGUCUCUUAAAUGGAGACCUGUAUGAAAGGCACCACGAGGGCUUAGCUGUCUCCCCUUUAAGGUCAAUGAAAUUGAUCCCCCCGUGCAGAAGCGGGGAUACACUCGUAAGACGAGAAGACCCUAUGGAGCUUAAGACAUAAAGCGACCCACGUCAAAGACCCCUCUAGAAGGAAAUGAACAAGGUGAGCUUCGCCGAAAUGUCUUCGGUUGGGGCGACCGCGGGGAAAAACCAAACCCCCACAUGGACCGAGGCCACAAUAGCCUUAAAACCCAGACCCCCGAGUCAAAUCAACAGUAUUUCUGACCACCAAAGAGCCGGCACUGCCGAUCAACGGACCGAGUUACCCUAGGGAUAACAGCGCAAUCCCCUCCCAGAGCCCUUAUCGACGAGGGGGUUUACGACCUCGAUGUUGGAUCAGGACAUCCUAAUGGUGCAGCCGCUAUUAAGGGUUCGUUUGUUCAACGAUUAAAGUCCUACGU
rnacentral:rRNA from 1 species